rnacentral:rRNA from 1 species
AUCUGCCCGAUGGAGGGGGAUAACCACUGGAAACGGUGGCUAAUACCGCAUAACGUCGCAAGACCAAAGUGGGGGACCUUCGGGCCUCACACCAUCGGAUGAACCCAGAUGGGAUUAGCUAGUAGGUGGGGUAACGGCUCACCUAGGCGACGAUCCCUAGCUGGUCUGAGAGGAUGACCAGCCACACUGGAACUGAGACACGGUCCAGACUCCUACGGGAGGCAGCAGUGGGGAAUAUUGCACAAUGGGCGCAAGCCUGAUGCAGCCAUGCCGCGUGUAUGAAGAAGGCCUUCGGGUUGUAAAGUACUUUCAGCGGGGAGGAAGGGGACGAGGUUAAUAACCUCGUUCAUUGACGUUACCCGCAGAAGAAGCACCGGCUAACUCCGUGCCAGCAG